rnacentral:rRNA from 1 species
AUUGAACGCUGGCGGAAUGCUUUACACAUGCAAGUCGAGCGGCAGCGCGGGGCAACCUGGCGGCGAGCGGCGAACGGGUGAGUAAUGCAUCGGAACAUGUCCAUGUCGUGGGGGAUAGCCCGGCGAAAGCCGGAUUAAUACCGCAUACGCUCGAGAGAGGAAAGCCGGGGACCGCAAGGCCUGGCGCGAUUGGGUUGGCCGAUGUCCGAUUAGCUAGUUGGUGAGGUAAAGGCUUACCAAGGCGAUGAUCGGUAGCUGGUCUGAGAGGAUGAUCAGCCACACUGGGACUGAGACACGGCCCAGACUCCUACGGGAGGCAGCAGUGGGGAAUUUUGGACAAUGGGGGCAACCCUGAUCCAGCCAUUCCGCGUGAGUGAAGAAGGCC